AGCUGGCCCUCUCGGCCCUGUUUAAAGAGUUUGUCUUUUCUCAGAUAGAUGGAUGUCUUUAUAUAGUCCAGACAUGAGUCUUCUGUCAGCA
ensembl:miRNA Mir6395 microRNA 6395